UAGAGAGGCUAUAUACAGUAGAGAGGCUAUAUACAGUAGAGAGGCUAUAUACAGUAGAGAGGCUAUAUACAGUAGAGAGGAUAUAUACAGUAGAGGGGCUAUAUACAGUAGAGAGGCUAUAUACAGUAGAGAGGCUAUAUACAGUAGAGAGGCUCUAUACAGUAGAGAGGAUAUAUACAGUAGAGAGGCUAUAUACAGUAGAGAGGCUAUAUACAGUAGAGAGGAUAUAUACAGUAGACAGGCAAUAUACAGUAGAGGGGCUAUAUACAGUAGAGAGGCUAUAUACAGUAGAGGGGCUAUAUACUGUAGAGAGGCUAUAUACAGUAGGGGCUAUAUACAGUAGAGAGGCUAUAUACAGUAGAGGCUAUAUACAGUAGAGGGGAUAUAUACAGGAGAGAGGCUAUAUACAGCAGAGAGGCUAUAUACUGUAGAGAGGCUAUAUACAGUAGAGAGGCUAUAUACAGUAGAGAGGCUAUAUACAGUAGAGGGGCUAUAUACAGUAGAGAGGCUAUAUACAGUAGAGAGGUUAUAUACAGUAGAGAGGCUAUAUACAGUAGAGGCUAUAUACAGUAGAGAGGUUAUAUACAGUAGAGGCUAUAUACAGUAGAGAGGCUAUAUGAAGUAGAGAGGCUAUAUACAGUAGACAGGCUAUAUACAGUAGAGGGGCUAUAUACAGUAGAGAGGAUAUAUACAGUAGAGAGGUUAUAUACAGUAGAGAGGCUAUAUACAGUAGAGGCUAUAUACAUUAGAGAGGUUAUAUACAGUAGAGGCUAUAUACAGUAGAGAGGCUAUAUACAGUAGAGGGGCUAUAUACAGUAGAGAGGCUAUAUACAGUAGAGAGGCUAUAUACAGUAGAGAGGCUAUAUACAGUAGAGAGGCUAUAUACAGUAGAGAGGCUAUAUACAGUAGAGAGGCUAUAUACAGUAGAGAGGCUAUAUACAGUAGAGAGGCUAUAUACAAUAGAGGCUAUAUACAGUAGAGAGGCUAUAUACAGUAGAGGCUAUAUACAGUAGAGAGGCUAUAUAGAGUAGUGUGGCUACAUACAGUAGAGGGGCUAUAUACAGUAGAGAGGCUAUAUACAGUAGAGGGGCUAUAUACAGUAGAGAGGCUAUAUACAGUAGAGAGGCUAUAUACAGUAGAGGGACUAUAUAUAGUAGAGAGGCUAUAUACAGUAGAGAGGCUACAUACAGUAGAGGCUAUAUACAGUAGAGGGGCUAUAUACAGUAGAGAGGCUAUAUACAGUAGAGUCUAUAUACAGUAGAGAGUCUAUAUACAGUAGAGAGGCUAUAUACAGUAGAAGGACUAUAUAUAGUAGAGAGGCUAUAUACAGUAGAGGCUAUAUACAGUAGAGAGGCUACAUACAGUAGAGGCUAUAUACAGUAGAG
ensembl:lncRNA